UACGUGAGGGGGCAAGCGUUGUCCGGAAUCAUUGGGCGUAAAGAGCGUGUAGGCGGCCCGGUAAGUCCGCUGUGAAAGUCGAGGGCUCAACCCUCGAAUGCCGGCGGAUACUGUCGGGCUAGAGUCCGGAAGAGGCGAGUGGAAUUCCUGGUGUAGCGGUGGAAUGCGCAGAUAUCAGGAGGAACACCAAUAGCGAAGGCAGCUCGCUGGGACGGUACUGACGCUGAGGCGCGAAAGCGUGGGGAGCGAACAGG
rnacentral:rRNA from 1 species